rnacentral:rRNA from 1 species
CGGAGGGUGCGAGCGUUGUCCGGAAUCACUGGGCGUAAAGGGCGCGUAGGUGGCGGCCCAAGUCAACGGUGAAAGCUCGGCGCUCAACGCCGAGUCGGCCGUCGAUACUGGGUUGCUCGAGCACUGUAGAGGCAGAUGGAAUUCCGGGUGUAGCGGUGGAAUGCGUAGAGAUCCGGAAGAACACCGGUGGCGAAGGCGGUCUGCUGGGCAGUAGCUGACACUGAGGCGCGACAGCGUGGGGAGCAAACAGGAUUAGAUACCCUGGUAGUCCACGCCGUAAACGAUGGGCACUAGGUGCUUGGGGGAGCGACCCCCUGAGUGCCGACGCUAACGCAUUAAGUGCCCCGCCUGGGGAGUACGGCCGCAAGGCUG